rnacentral:tmRNA from 1 species
GGGCUAGUCAAGGUUUCGACAGGGGUCUUGCAGCUGGAGAAGCUAUCCGCAGGCGAUGCGUCAAAUCGCAAAUUAAAUAUAAACGCUGAAGAUAAUUUAGCUCUCGCAGCCUAAGCUGCGGGUAAUGCCGUUUUUUAGCGGCUGUCCGCUCCGGAGCACCCCCACGCCGGAGUACGGGCAUCGACUAUGGGGGAAACGGCAUACGGUAAGCUUUGCCCGUAUGGACGUAUCAUGAAGCUACUGAACAUGGCAGGGUGUCAGUUACCGGCCAUGGGAGGGAACGCGCCAAAGUAAGUUUGGCAAAAAACAACUGACUAUGAUAGUAGAAGGACAGGGAAUAGGCUUUUGGACACGGGUUCGACUCCCGUCUAGUCCAUUA